UUGCUUGCUGCCUGUGCGUUCACGGAGUUCAUUCUUCGACUGCCGUGAACAAGAACCCUGAUUCCGGUAGCAACAUCUUUCUGGUAUCACUAUGGGCCUUCUGAAUGGAAGCCCUAGUGACAGUGCAGGCCAGGUGAUCUGGGGACCCAUCCCCUACCAGCAGCCACAAAAUCUGGGGUGCAGGUGUAGGUACAGAUUCUUUUCAAGGAAAUACUGGCACCUUGGAGCAGGCAAGAGGGGACAGGGGUGGUAUCCACUGGCUUCCCUGGCAUUUGGGGAGGAUGGCAGUCAGCCAGCCCCUAGAUAGGUGCCCAGGUAAAAGCCUGACCCCCAGGCACCAGCUUUUAAAGCAUCUAAACAGACCUCUUUCAGGGACAGACUAGCACUGCAUGUUUUUUGUCUGCCCCCCCCCCCCGCGCCCCCCUGGCUGCCCCAAUGUGAGUGCUUGAGCCCACGGACAACUGCUGCUUUGUUUGCUAUAGUUGGUAGCUCUCGUGCACUCAACUCCAUUGGCCUGGCGAGCUGGGUGUUGUAGGUGUGAGGUCCAAACCCUUCACCCUGCAAGGGGAGGCUGGCAUGUGGGGAUCCCUCCCCGUUACCUGGCUCUGUGCCAGGGCUUGGGUUUAUGGCAAGAGGAUGUCUCAACCUUUCCUACUCAUUUCAACGUAAUGGUUUUCUUUCUUCCCUCAUUGUGUACAGGGUGCUUAUUAGCCAGUUUCUUCCAGAAGGAACUCCUGUGUGUAGCUGUUCAUGAGGUGUGUCCCUGGGAGGAGGGCAGUCAGGAGCCUUCUGUGUUGCCAUCUGUAAAUACAGCCUCAAUACUUUCUGAACUGUGCUUCUGUUUUUGUGUUUCCUGGACUGGGCAGACCUGAGCGUGGCUGCCAGCUAAGGGCAGGAUUCCCCAAUAAAGAAAAGAUGUAUGAUAAAAGAGGGAACAUGGGUGGAGCCAGGUUUUGAGAGGAGCCAUGUGAAUUUGCAAUAACAGGGAAAAGGGUUUGACCCUGGCUGUGGGCCAGGGCAAUGUGCCUUCCUUUCAAAUGAGGGGGAGGAGCGAGAGGCGGUAAACCAGAGGGCGUGAGUGUGGAUGGGAAAUGCUGCCGGUCACAUCAGGAAACAAAGGCCAUCAGCCACGGUGGCUCCUGACUGUGCACCCUGAGGGGAUUCGGGAUGGAGAGCCUCGAGAUUGGCCCUUGAUAGUUGAGAUGCUUAGCAAAGGGAUGACUGCAAUGCGCCCAGACUCUUGCAUCUUCCUAUUUUGCUGGUACAUUUGAGACCAACCAACUCCUGAAUGUGAAAGAAAGGCGGCUCAGCCACAAGGAGAGUGGAAGAGAGCUGGAAUACUGUGCGGCGACUGGAAAAGUUACAAGAAAAUUACAUGGAACCCACUAACCACUCUUACUUGUGACGUGCACUGGGCCUUUCUGGUGAGUACAAUAAGGAUUGUUACGAGUGAUAUCUGUUGUGUGAGGUGUGUGGCGUCAUGCUAAGCAUCUAUGCGGGUAAAUUCAAUCCUCUGAACAGCCUUUACGGUAGAAGCGAUUAUUUCCCCUCCUACAGGUGAGCAUGUGCAGAGAGAGAAAGGAGGAUGCAGUGGGAUCCUUGACUGGCCACCUGUUCGGGCUGGGCGCCCUGGGCAACUUAGUCUCGGGAAGCCCUAGCUUCCUCUGGGAGAAUGAGCAGGAUCACUGUUUACAAAAUUAUUAGGAAUAUUAAAUGAUGUGUGUGCAGGAGCCUAAUGCAUGCUGGGUACUUUUUAAAGAAAACCAUCAUAAAAUGUGAACAGUGGCUCAGUUGUUGGCUCUGCAUAGACACUGCGAUCUGAGCUUGUUCUUUCUCCCCAGAGCAGGAUGAAGACUUGCACCACAGAAGCAGGAACCCCUGUGAACGUCUCCUACCAGGUAGGUACCACAUAGAUGUGUGAUGCAGCCUACUGUUAAAAAGUGUGUGUGUGUGUGGCGGGGGGCAGUAGUAGCAGAGACAGUGGCCCGAACCAUGGUUCAGUGAAGGCUGACAUUCCAACUUGGAGUGGAAGCCAAGAAAUCUCAUCCCUACAUGAAGUGUGGCCCACAUGCCACCAGUUUGUGACCCUGGGGACUCUGGUUUAAAGAUGCUAGCUUAUGGAGUUCCCAUGGUGGCUACCUUGUCUCUGUGAGCAUGUGGGUUCAAUCCCUGGCCUGGCUCAGUGGGUUAAGGAUCCGAUGUUGCCGUAAGCUGUGGCAUAGGUCACAGAUGCAGCUUGGACCUGCUGUGGCUCUGGUGGAGCCGGCAGCUGUAGCUCUGAUUCGACCCACCAGCCCUGGAAACUCCCAUAUGCCACCUGUGUGGUUAAACAACAAAAAAUCUAAAUUCCCUCUGCCUCUUACUUAUUAUAUGACUUUGGCAAAGUCACUUUAGGUUCACUUAAGUGGAACUAAACCCUGGCCCACAGCUCAAGAGGCAGUGCUACAGUCGUCUGGCUAAACUGUGUCAAUGCUCAUGCGUUUUUCUCGGCUCAAUAAUUCCUGUUUGUACGUGAGCAGAUGGCGAGGGCUGUGCUAAGAUGACAGGGCAGCGGGUAGUGGGGCUCGGGGAGUUUACUUUGGCACAGAUCCCAGGGUGCUGUGGGAGACACUGAUUCAUGUGCGUCCCUCAUGAGGUGAGGCCAGGACAACCCUGCUUGUCUGCAGGUGUGUGGCGAGGUGGAAGCCCAGGGGGAGGGGGUUCAUCUCACAGAUGCGUCCCUGAGAGGAUCUCCAAGGCCCUUCCAGGCCAUCCUGCCAUCUCCCUGCUCCAGAACAAACAGCCGUCACUGUACUGGUGUAGCCGAAACAUUGCUGGUAUUUAUUGAAAAGGCAGAACGUGCUGCAUCCGUAGAGAUCCAGCUCCCACAGUUCUCCAGACAUGGGCUGCACGUCACCCUUAGGCUUGUCAUUCCCUCGGGUGGCAGCAAAACUGCUGUAGUGACACGUCCCCAGGAAGAAUAAGCUAGAAGACGCGCCUUGUGUUCUACACGCUAUGAAGGAUUCGGUGAUAAAGUGCUGGCAGAAGCUUGGCUAGGAAGGGCCCUGAGCAGAAGUCCCCAUGCUGGGCAGUCCAGGGCAUUGAUUUCUCCCCUGUGGCCAUCACCUGCCACCAAGACUCAGGUAACAUAAGGCUUAUGCCCCUGACAGGCUGCCAGAGCCACGGGGACGUGGUUUUUCUAAAGGCAGUAAGGCAGUGGAUGGACAUGUGACACUGGCAUUGCCAAUGGGAGGAGGGCGGGAUCAGGCCCUGCGGUGUCUGGGGGAGUGGGGUGGGGUGUCCAUGGAGAGCAUGCCCUGCUGAGGGGCCAGCAGCUUCCACCUGGACCAGCCGGGAAGAGAAAUUGGUUGGAUUGGAGGAUAACCAAGAGGUGGUCCCUGAAAUGACUUCUUCGUCCCACAACUGGGCUCCAUCCCGUGUGGCUAAGCCAAGGGCUCAGGUGUCGUCAGUACCUUUUACUCGCAAUACUGUGUCUAAAGUUUUCUUUCCAAUGACGAUGAAGUGAUUACACACAGGAUCUGAUGCAGUGAGAAGUGGGCUGAUGUGCAGACACUACCCCAGGGUCUGGGCAGUCCUGGUGAGUGGGAAAUACCUUCCUAAAGCAGCCAAGGCCAGACCGCCGGCACCAAGGCCUUUGGGACCCCAGAUGGGGAUGAGGCGAGGUCACCUGCUCCUAGGAGGUAAGGAAGUAUCUUUGCACAACUGAAGUUCACAGCGUAUUGGGUCAGCUUGCCUCAAAUUCAGAGAAGUUGGAAGCAAUUA